UAUUGGUGGGAGAAUAUACCUCCUUCUAGCUUUAGAACUCAAGAGAGUGUCACAUCUUCAAGGAUGACCAGCGAGUCUGUCUAGUUUCGAAUUUCACUAACAUAACUUAAAGCGCUCAUCUGAUUAAGUCAGGCUCAUCCAGAAUAGUCUUUCUCCGGAUUAACUUAAAGUUAACUCAGUAGGACUCUUAAAUGCAUCUUCAAAUUCUCCUCUGACAUAAAACAAUCGUAUUGUGAUGUCACAUCCUAAUCACAAGUCUUUUUCACACUCAGGGAAAGAUGACUACACAGAGCUCUACACAAGGGGCAGCAUUUGGGGCCCGUGGUAGAGUUCUAUCUACCUGCCAAAUGAAGUAAACACAUGUUUAGCAACUUGAGAUCUCUGUGAAGUAAAUAUCACCAAAUAAACCCAGCCGCUCCAAGCAAGAAGAAAGCUCAGAGUAUGAUAAUCAAAUGUCAAGGGUGCAACUCGAAAUGUAACGUCAUACAGAGCUCUCAGAUGAGCAGAAGUCCACUGUGUAUCUGCACCGCAUUUUCAUUACCUGUUCACCGUCGGUAGACAUUGGGGCUGUUUUUGUGCUUCCUGGCUGCUAGGAAGAGAGCAGCAAUGAGCACAGACGAAAAGGUCCUGAUGGGGUCUCAUCACUCUCUCCAGUUCCUUCCUUCAAGGCAGUCACCGGGCUCUGGCGCUUUCGGAGAGAUCUGUGAGCAAGAGCUAAAAGUCAAAGUUUCUGUUGCUACCAAAGCUGCUUUUCUGGGGCGAUUUCUAAAACAGUCCUAUUUUGUGAUCACAUAAGGGCACUCAUCAACAUUUAGAGGACUGUUAGGACUCAAGCAAAGGCUUAAGAAACACCUAGUGCUGGGUUCGUGGACACAGUAUGGGGAUAGUGGGUAUGGGCUGAAUCCAGCUCCUCAGAACCCAUGUAAAAGCUAGAUGCAGUAGCAUGCACAUCUGUAACACCAGAGGCUCACCCAACAGCUUGCCUGCUUCCCUCGGCUUCCACAGAUGCCCUCCCCAUCUCAAACAAGACGUGAAGGAGAAGCCUGACUCCUACCAGCUGUCCUCUGACCUGCACAUCUGUGCGUAGACAUGUGCACUCCCUGUUCCCAUCACAAACAAACAAAAAGAAAAGAGAAACACACUGUUGGCAAACCGGGCGUCAUGUGAAAAUAUAAUAGGUCUGGUAUAAAAGUCACCUGACUAAGUUUCUCCUGCUCACCGCACGAUGUCACGAGCCGCCUCAGAAUUCUGCCAGGAAGAAGACAGUCAGCAGGUACAGGCCCUCGACCUUCAGAAUCAUGAUUGAUGGAUAAACAUCUUCUCUUUACAACUCACCUGUCUUGAUAUAUUACAUCAUUGGCAACAGAAAAUGGACUAAGAUAGCAUUUAUUUGAUGAAGAUCAAGCUUCCUUUGUUUCUUUCAUAAUAAAUGCUAUUUGAUAUUUGUAUUUA